AGAGUUUGAUCCUGGCUCAGGACGAACGCUGGCGGCGUGCCUAACACAUGCAAGUCGAGCGGAGACAGUGAGUAGCUUGCUACGAGCUGUUUUAGCGGCGGACGGGUGAGUAACGCGUGAGCAACCUUUCCCAGACAGGGGAAUAACACACCGAAAGGUGUACUAAUACCGCAUAAGACCACGGGAUCACAUGGUUCUGGGGUAAAAGAAUUAUCGGUUUGGGGUGGGCUCGCGUCCGAUUAGGUAGUUGGUGAGGUAACGGCCCACCAAGCCGACGAUCGGUAGCCGACCUGAGAGGGUGAUCGGCCACAUUGGGACUGAGACACGGCCCAAACUCCUACGGGAGGCAGCAGUGGGGAAUAUUGGGCAAUGGAGGAAACUCUGACCCAGCAACGCCGCGUGGAGGAAGAAGGUUUUCGGAUCGUAAACUCCUGUCCUUGGAGACGAGUAGAAGACGGUAUCCAAGGAGGAAGCCCCGGCUAACUACGUGCCAGCAGCCGCGGUAAUACGUAGGGGGCAAGCGUUGUCCGGAAUAAUUGGGCGUAAAGGGCGCGUAGGCGGCUCGGUAAGUCUGGAGUGAAAGUCCUGCUUUUAAGGUGGGAAUUGCUUUGGAUACUGUCGGGCUUGAGUGCAGGAGAGGUUAGUGGAAUUCCCAGUGUAGCGGUGAAAUGCGUAGAGAUUGGGAGGAACACCAGUGGCGAAGGCGACUAACUGGACUGUAACUGACGCUGAGGCGCGAAAGUGUGGGGAGCAAACAGGAUUAGAUACCCUGGUAGUCCACACUGUAAACGAUGAAUGCUAGGUGUAGGGGGUAUCGACCCCUUCUGUGCCGCAGUCAACACAAUAAGCAUUCCGCCUGGGGAGUACGGCCGCAAGGUUGAAACUCAAAGGAAUUGACGGGGGCCCG
rnacentral:rRNA from 1 species